GGGUAAUUUUCCGCAAUGGGCGAAAGCCUGACGGAGCAAUACCGCGUGAGGGAGGAAGGCCCUUGGGUUGUAAACCUCUUUUCUCAGGGAAGAAAAAAAUGACGGUACCUGAGGAAUAAGCAUCGGCUAACUCCGUGCCAGCAGCCGCGGUAAUACGGAGGAUGCAAGCGUUAUCCGGAAUGAUUGGGCGUAAAGGGUCCGCAGGUGGCUAUGUAAGUCUGCUGUUAAAGCACCUAGCUUAACUAGGUAAAAGCAGUGGAAACUACAAGGCUAGAGUGCGUUCGGGGUAGAGGGAAUUCCUGGUGUAGCGGUGAAAUGCGUAGAUAUCAGGAAGAACACCAGUGGCGAAGGCGCGCUACUAGGCCGCAACUGACACUGAGGGACGAAAGCUAGGGGAGCGAAUGGGAUUAGAUACCCCAGUAGUCCUAGCCGUAAACGAUGGAUACUAGGCGUGGCUUGUAUCGACCCGAGCCGUGCCGGAGCUAACGCGUUAAGUAUCC
rnacentral:rRNA from 1 species